GAUGCAUGUUGAUAGAGAGUGGAUUACCUAAAGGUUUAUGGCCUUACGCAGUGCAGACAGCAGCCAUAACUAGAAACAGAUGUUUUAACAAACGCACCAAACAAACACCAGUUCAGAUGUUAACAGGGAGAAGGCCCAAUUUAUCCAGGAUGCAAAAGUUUGGUUCUGAGUGUUUUGUUUAUAAACAAGAUAAAAGAAAGCUAGAUCCAAGAUGUGAGAAAGGUGUUUUUAUUGGUUAUGAUAAAAGCAGUCCAGCAUACAUUAUCUAUUUCCCUGACAGCAGGAAAGUACAAAAGCACAGGCUAGUCAGGUUUAUUUCUAAGACCUGUGUUGAACAGCAGACUCAGACCAGCAUUGUAGAUGAUGAUGAUGGUGAUGAUGAUCUGGAGGAGAGGGCCAAUAGGAUUAGGCAGAAUGUGAAUGAAAAUGCAGUAAAUGACCAGAUUCCAGGCAAAGAGGAGGAACUGAGUAGCAGUCCUCAGACCCAGACAGUUGAAGCUAUGCCUGAGCCCACAAGGUAUCCUUCUAGAGAGAGGAGGAGGCCAGCCUAUCUCCAUGACUAUGUUUCUCAACAGGCAUCUGAUGAGGAAACUGAUCAGGUACAGAUUAACAUAGAUUACUGUUAUAGAGUGACAUGUAACAUACCUGUAACUUUCACAGAAGCUGUAACCUCAGAUAGAUCAAAAGAGUGGGUUGCUGCGAUGGAUGAGGAGAUGCAGUCACUUAUAGAGAAUAACACAUUUACCCUGAGUAGCUUGCCAGAGGGUAAGACGGUAGUGGGGGGUAGAUGGGUUUAUGCAAUCAAGAACAACAUAGAUGGAUCUGAAAAGUGCAAAGCACGUUAUGUGGCAAAAGGAUACAGUCAGAAGAGAGGUGUAGAUUAUGAGGAGACAUUUUCCCCUACAGCUAAUUUGACGAGUAUCAGAGUGAUAAUGCAAAAAGCAGCACAAGAAAACCUGAUUUUGCACCAAAUGGAUGUUAAAACUGCCUAUUUGAAUGCACCAAUAGACCAUGAAAUUUACAUGGAACAGCCAGAGGGCUAUGAGGUGAAAUCUGACACAAAUGAAAAAUUGUUUUGUAAAUUGGAAAGAUCACUGUAUGGUUUA
ensembl:lncRNA